GACGAACGCUGGCGGUGUGCUUAACACAUGCAAGUGGAGCGACGAACCAGGGCUUGCCCUGGGGCAGAGCCGCGAACGGGUGAGUAACACGUGGGUAACCUACCCCGAUGACCGGGACAACCCGAGGAAACUCGGGCUAAUACCGGAUGUACCCGACGUUCACGAGAACGUCGUGCAAAGGAAGCUUCGGCCUCCGCAUCGGGAGGGGCCCGCGGCCCAUUAGCUUGUUGGUGGGGUAACGGCCUACCAAGGCUGCGAUGGGUAGCUGGUCUGAGAGGACGAUCAGCCACACUGGGACUGAGACACGGCCCAGACUCCUACGGGAGGCAGCAGUGGGGAAUCUUGCGCAAUGCGCGAAAGCGUGACGCAGCAACACCGCGUGAGGGAAGACGGCCU
rnacentral:rRNA from 1 species